GUGGAGAGCAAGUGACAGUUUGGCGAAA
rnacentral:piRNA from 1 species